ACUCAGUCACCAACUGGCAGCUGAAGGAGGAACAGCUUGUCCUGCUCUCUCCCGUCUUUACUGAUAACUUUGCCUGAGCUACUUUUAAAGUGACAGUUUUUAUACUUAUAUUCACAUUUUCAACAUCAUAACUGGAUUACUACAAACCGAAGGACUGGGGGAUUUUCUUACUUUUACCUUACUUUUCUUCAUCUCCAAGUUGAACCAGGACAAAAUGCCUCUGGCCGACCCCAAGGACAUUAGCAGUAUUAUACAACGACUUCAGUCUAUAGAAAUGAAGAUCAAACUGCUGGAGGUGAACUUUGAGAUCAACACUAACUGUGGAAAUCAGACAACUCUUCCUCAAAUCAACGGAGAGGUUGUAAGCCUCGCAUCAAGCAGCCCACCCUGGAACGCUCUGGGUGCCAAGCCGAAGCAAACGUCUCACACCGCAGAUCCGAUGAGGCGACUGACAGGGAGAACCCCUCACCUGGACGAAUCAGCGUGGCCGGCUCUGAGCCGAAACCCACCUUCAACCUCAACACCUGCUCCACCAAAGAAAAACAAACAAGCAGCUGCAACCAAAACGGUUCCACCGACCCCGCUCCCAAGGACAAAGCGACCAGCCCGGGCCUCAAAACAUUCUGACUCUGUGGGAAUCCCACUGAAAAACAGAUUUUCUGUACUCCAGCCUGAGCCUCUGAGUGAAACCUCACUUUCAAACACCAACAAUGAGGCAAGACCAACACAUCCACCCCCUAAAGACAAAGCGGCUACCAGGAAAACGAAAGGUAUGCCAAAAGUGCUUAUUGUUGGAGAUGAGGCAGUAAAUGGAAUCAGUCACGUUUGCAAUCCCAAGAAAACGAGAGUGAUUUCUUUUCCUGGUGACACUGUAUCUGAUUUAACACAAAAAGUUCUCUCU